CACGGGGGGGAGCAAGCGUUGUUCGGAAUUACUGGGCGUAAAGGGCGUGUAGGCGGUCAAGUAAGUGGAAUGUGAAACGCCUCGGCUUACCCGAGGACCUGCAUCCCAAACUGCUUGGCUUGAGUAUGGGAGAGGAUGAGGGAAUUCCUGGUGUAGCGGUGAAAUGCGUAGAUAUCAGGAGGAACACCGGUGGCGAAGGCGGCUCACUGGCCCGGUACUGACGCUGAGGUGCGAAAGCGUGGGGAGCAAACAGG
rnacentral:rRNA from 1 species